rnacentral:snoRNA from 1 species
UCUUCGUGAUGAACAUCUUUUAUUCAGUUCUGCUACCGAGAAAGCAUGAGCGAUACACCUUAUACCAAAAACACAUUUCUGAUGU